rnacentral:rRNA from 2 species
CGCCGCGUGAGUGAUGAAGGUUUUCGGAUCGUAAAGCUCUGUUGUUAGGGAAGAACAAGUGCGAGAGUAACUGCUCGCACCUUGACGGUACCUAACCAGAAAGCCACGGCUAACUACGUGCCAGCAGCCGCGGUAAUACGUAGGUGGCAAGCGUUGUCCGGAAUUAUUGGGCGUAAAGGGCUCGCAGGCGGUUUCUUAAGUCUGAUGUGAAAGCCCCCGGCUCAACCGGGGAGGGUCAUUGGAAACUGGGAAACUUGAGUGCAGAAGAGGAGAGUGGAAUUCCACGUGUAGCGGUGAAAUGCGUAGAGAUGUGGAGGAACACCAGUGGCGAAGGCGACUCUCUGGUCUGUAACUGACGCUGAGGAGCGAAAGCGUGGGGAGCGAACAGGAUUAGAUACCCUGGUAGUCCACGCCGUAAACGAUGAGUGCUAAGUGUUAGGGGGUUUCCGCCCCUUAGUGCUGCAGCUAACGCAUUAAGCACUCCGCCUGGGGAGUACGGUCGCAAGACUGAAACUCAAAGGAAUUGACGGGGGCCCGCACAAGCGGUGGAGCAUGUGGUUUAAUUCGAAGCAACGCGAAGAACCUUACCAGGUCUUGACAUCCUCUGACAACCUAGAGAUAGGGCUUUCCCUUCGGGGACAGAGUGACAGGUGGUGCAUGGUUGUCGUCAGCUCGUGUCGUGAGAUGUUGGGUUAAGUCCCGCAACGAGCGCAACCCUUGA